CUUUCCGGCCGGACUGCCGCGCCUGUGGCCGGAAGAGCCAGCUAGACCAGAGAGUCUGUACCUGCAACCCUGGCGGCGUCCGAGCCCAAGGCGGAGUCUGGGAGACAAAGAAGUCCUCGCCGCCGGCCGCUGGAGGAUUCUGCCAGUAGUGAAAGAUGGGGUCUCGUUAUGUUGACCAGGCUGGUCUUGAACACCUGACCUGAAGUGAUCCUCUUGCCUCAGCCUCCCAUAGUGCUGCGAUCACAGGUGCAUGCCUUCCUUAUUUCUCAUACUCAUCACCUCCUCUUCCCGCUUGGAACUGCCCACACUGGUGAUUUCCUUGUUAAGGAACUUGAUGGCGUUGUGCAUGCUCGCUGACAGGGGACGGCACUGAGUCAGGAAGCUAUAAUACAACAGCAAUACCUUAUAUCUGCGCAACUCUUCACAACUUACAAAGCCUUCACAUUUAAAAAAAAAGUCUUUAAAAAGAAAAUAGAACACAAAAUGAAAAGAGAGAUAGAAAAGCAGGAAAAAGAGUACAAGACAAAGAUUGGGCGAGCUGGGAGUGGACUUAUAGUGUUGUCCCUACCUCAUGUAGGGUUUUAGUUUAUUCACUAGAUCCCUGGAGAGUUCUUCAUUAGGCGGUGUUGUGUAAUCCUGAAUCACCUAUAGGGUACACAAGGUGAUCUGCAAAAUACCCCUUAAUAAAGAUCUCUGAACGGGG
rnacentral:lncRNA from 1 species